rnacentral:rRNA from 1 species
AUUGAACGCUGGCGGCAUGCCUUACACAUGCAAGUCGAACGGUAACGGGUCCUUCGGGAUGCCGACGAGUGGCGAACGGGUGAGUAAUAUAUCGGAACGUGCCCAGUAGUGGGGGAGUAACUGCUCGAAAGAGCAGCUAAUACCGCAUACGACCUGAGGGUGAAAGGGGGGAGUCGCAAGACCUCUCGCUAUUGGAGCGGCCGAUAUCAGAUUAGCUAGUUGGUGGGGUAAAGGCCUACCAAGGCAACGAUCUGUAGUUGGUCUGAGAGGACGACCAGCCACACUGGGACUGAGACACGGCCCAGACUCCUACGGGAGGCAGCAGUGAGGAAUAUUGGUCAAUGGGCGGAAGCCUGAACCAGCCAUCCCGCGUGAAGGAAGACAGCCUUACGGGUUGUAAACUUCUUUUCUGUCAGAAGAAUAAGCUUGUCGAGACGAGUGAUGCCGGUAUGACAGGAAUAAGCAUCGGCUAACUCCGUGCCAGCAGCGGUAAA